CGAUGUGGAGCGAAACCCGAAAAGNACCCCCAGUUCGGAUUGCAGGCUGAAAUUCGCCUGCAUGAAGCCGGAAUUGCUAGUAAUGGCAGGUCAGCAUACUGCCGUGAAUACGUUCCCGGGCCUUGUACACACCGCCCGUCACACCAUGAGAGUUGGGGAUACCCGAAGCCUGUGAGCCAACAAUAUAUUGAGGCAGCAGUCGAAGGUAGAAUCAAUGAUUGGGGUGAAGUCGUAACAAGGUACC
rnacentral:rRNA from 1 species